CUGGGCGGGAGCGUGGGCCCGUUGUGUAGAAUCCAGCCCCGCCGUCCGAUCCGGUUACACCCGCAGGGAGUGUGUAUCCACUCGGCCUCGGCGCUGCCCGCCCCGAAGCGCAGAGGCCCGCCCUGACUCAGGCGGGCCAGGAGCCAAGUGGUGCAGAUGCUCUCCGCCACGAGAUGUCGCUGUGGCGCUACCUGGAGGAUGGCGGCCAGGGCGUGCGGAGGAGGGAUCCUGAUGCGCGACCACCGCGUGUCGCGUGUCGCAGGCAACGCUCGAAGGCCGCGAGUCAGACGAGGCUCGGGGCCGCCCGGGUUCUGGAGAGUCUCCAGCUGGGGCCCAGCAGCGCCCAGCGUCAGGUCAAGGGGAUGCCCCUUUGGGGCUUUUGAGGUCCUCGCCCCCCCCAAGAAGUUGUGUAAACAAACUUGGGAGGGACCUCCAGAAAACUUUAGUCCAAGCCAAGGCUCCUCAAUGUGAAGGGGGGAAACUGAGGGCCACGGAGGGGCAGCACCUGGCAUCCCAGUCAUCUGGCCGUAGGGGGAAGAGUGAGCCAGAACCCAUGGCUCUGCCUGGUUACUGUUCAAAUAACAGUGACUCCCUGGCCGUCCUGCGUAGGUCAUGGUUUCUGUUAACACAGCAAUCCGAUCCUUCUUAGCACCCACUGUGGUUUGUAUUUGCACAUUUAUUACUGUCAUGACUCGGGCUAUUGCUUGCCUCCCCUCCUCUAGACAAGCCCGCCUGUUGCCUGAGACCAGGGGCCCCGUUGAUCCUGUGUCUUGGUUGCCUGGCACAUAGGAAACACUGGUAACAUUGUUGGACGAAGGAAUAAUUGUGAAUACAUCUCAAUUACUCAAAGAGGAAGCAGAUCCAGAGAGGGGAGUUUGCUGGGAACAGUCACAGCGGCAGGCGCUCGGCUCUUCACGCCAAGAAUGCUUGUGGGCUCCCCGCCAGAUGUAGCACAGGCCAGACCACAGCUGAAUCCCCCAGGCAAUGCAAAGCCAAAAUCUGAAUUCCUCAAGGGCAGAGACUUCUGUCUGUCUCACUCACGGCCAAAUCCCCAGAACCAGGAACAGCCUCUGGCACACGGGAGCCCAUCUGGGGGACAGCAUCUCCACUACCUGCCCAGAAACUCUGACAUCUCCUGCACUUCUCUCUCUCCACACACCUGUUUCAGGGACGUUGCUCUGUAUUCCCGCUGCCACUACCCAGUCCAGACCCCCAUCAUCACUGUCAACCUGGACUGUCACAAUGACCUCCUCCUGGCCUCCAGUCUCUUUCUCGAGUAUGCCCUCCAUAGCGUUUGCCAAAAUUAUUUUUCUGAACCAGGAAUUGUAAACCCAAAUGCCCACGACGGUCGGACAGGAGACAUGAGCCAAGAGAGUUGAGUUUGUGUGUCUAACGCACAUGCUAGUCUUCAUUCCCACAAAGAUAACGUUUGUGUUACUGAAACCCAAGUUCGGUCGCUUGUCUCUUGAAAGCCAGUGCUCGAGAGAUAGUGACGGUGGGAAAGGAAAGGCUGCUUAUUCAGGAGGCCAGCAACCUGGGAAGAUAUGGCGGACCAAUGUCCAAAGACCAUCUCUGAAGUCUCCGAGCAGUGGAUCUGGAAGAGGGAAGCACAGCGAAGUGUUGGGGGCUCAGCGUGCAGGGGAAACAGUGGUAUUCUCGAAAGGACCUCAGGCAGACCUGCUGGUGUCAGGAAAGGCUAUUUUCUUUUCUUUCCUUCUUCCUUCCUUCCUUUCCUUUCUUUCUUCCUUUUCUUUCUUUCCUUCCUUCCUUUUCUUUCCUUCCUUCUCUUUCGUUUCUUCUCUUCUUUCUUUUCCC